rnacentral:rRNA from 1 species
CUCCCUCGUUGCCUGAUCUCAGGUUCGAUAAUGCCAAUAUCGCACCACCUCGCCUAAAACCAACUUCGAUGAAGCGACGGGCGGUGUGUG